CCUACGGGAGGCAGCAGUGAGGAAUAUUGGUCAAUGGGCGCAAGCCUGAACCAGCGACGCCGCGUGCGGGAUGAAGGGGCUUUGCCUCGUAAACCGCUGUCGGGUGGGACGAAAGGUAGCUUUGAGCUACUGGGACGGUACCAUCAAAGGAAGGAUCGGCUAACUACGUGCCAGCAGCCGCGGUAAUACGUAGGAUCCGAGCGUUGUCCGGAGUUACUGGGUGUAAAGGGUGCGUAGGCUGUUCUGUGCGUCAGAGGUGAAAUCCACGAGCUUAACUCGUGGGGUGCCUUUGAUACGGCAGGGCUUGAGUACGAGAGAGGUGCGUGGAAUUCCUGGUGUAGCAGUGAAAUGCGUAGAUAUCAGGAGGAACACCGGUGGCGAAGGCGGCGCACUGGCUCGUAACUGACGCUGAGGCACGAAAGCGUGGGGAUCAAACAGGAUUAGAUACCCUGGUAGUCCACGCCUUAAACGAUGCAUNNUGUGUUGGUCUCGCAGAGAUCAGUGCCGUAGUUAACUAUGAUAAGACAUGCCGACCCGUCGGGGAGGUACGGUAGUCGCGAGGUUAGUAAACGUACGAAAGGAAGUUAGUACGGACGUUGAGACGUUGCCGACGGACGACGACGAGGGAGGAGG
rnacentral:rRNA from 1 species